GCCCCCUUGGCCUAAUGGCUAAGGCGCAAGAGUGCGUACCCCGCUUAGAUCUUGUCGUUGUACAUCAAGCUGACUUUAACUAGCUUCUAUAUCUCGGAAUCUUGAGAUUGCCGGUUCGAGUCCGGCAGGGGGUG